ACACCAAAUUGCCCAAGGUUCGAGGCGGGGUAAGCACAGGGGAGCUUGCUCCCCGGGUGACGAGCGGCGGACGGGUGAGUAAUGUCUGGGAAACUGCCUGAUGGAGGGGGAUAACUACUGGAAACGGUAGCUAAUACCGCAUAACGUCGCAAGACCAAAGAGGGGGACCUUCGGGCCUCUUGCCAUCAGAUGUGCCCAGAUGGGAUUAGCUAGUAGGUGGGGUAAUGGCUCACCUAGGCGACGAUCCCUAGCUGGUCUGAGAGGAUGACCAGCCACACUGGAACUGAGACACGGUCCAGACUCCUACGGGAGGCAGCAGUGGGGAAUAUUGCACAAUGGGCGCAAGCCUGAUGCAGCCAUGCCGCGUGUGUGAAGAAGGCCUUCGGGUUGUAAAGCACUUUCAGCGAGGAGGAAGGUGGUGAACUUAAUACGUUCAUCAAUUGACGUUACUCGCAGAAGAAGCACCGGCUAACUCCGUGCCAGCAGCCGCGGUAAUACGGAGGGUGCAAGCGUUAAUCGGAAUUACUGGGCGUAAAGCGCACGCAGGCGGUUUGUUAAGUCAGAUGUGAAAUCCCCGGGCUCAACCUGGGAACUGCAUUUGAAACUGGCAAGCUGGAGUCUCGUAGAGGGGGGUAGAAUUCUGAG
rnacentral:rRNA from 1 species